AGUGACGGCUGCCAUCUUGAGGGAACCAUGUCAUUGACGGUGAGGAUGUUUGUCAUCUGGUCUCUGCUGUCAGCGCUGGCAGCGCUGGCUCUCAGCAAUGCUGCGCCCAUGGAACAAGAACAACCGUCGACGUGCCCCCCAUGCAUCUGCAACGUGACAGCGAUGCCACAGUCGGCGUGCACGACACAGCCGCAGACCAGUAUAGGCUACAAAAAUGA